rnacentral:rRNA from 1 species
UACGAAGGGGGCUAGCGUUGCUCGGAAUCACUGGGCGUAAAGGGCGCGUAGGCGGACUCUUAAGUCGGGGGUGAAAGCCCAGGGCUCAACCCUGGAAUUGCCUUCGAUACUGAGAGUCUUGAGUUCGGAAGAGGUUGGUGGAACUGCGAGUGUAGAGGUGAAAUUCGUAGAUAUUCGCAAGAACACCAGUGGCGAAGGCGGCUCACUGGCCCGGUACUGACGCUGAGGUGCGAAAGCGUGGGGAGCAAACAGGG